rnacentral:rRNA from 1 species
AUUGAACGCUGGCGGCAUGCCUUACACAUGCAAGUCGAACGGCAGCACGGGAGCAAUCCUGGUGGCGAGUGGCGAACGGGUGAGUAAUAUAUCGGAACGUGCCCAGUCGUGGGGAUAACGUAGCGAAAGCUACGCUAAUACCGCAUACGAUCUAUGGAUGAAAGCGGGGGAUCGCAAGACCUCGCGCGAUUGGAGCGGCCGAUAUCAGAUUAGGUAGUUGGUGAGGUAAAGGCUCGCCAAGCCGACGAUCUGUAGCUGGUCUGAGAGGACGACCAGCCACACUGGGACUGAGACACGGCCCAGACUCCUACGGAGGCAGCAGUGGGGAAUUUUGGACAAUGGGCGCAAGCCUGAUCCAGCAAUGCCGCGUGCAGGAUGAAGGGCCUUCGGGUUG